rnacentral:tRNA from 1 species
GCUCCCGUAGCAUAGCCGGCAAUGCGCCACCUUGGUAAGGUGGAGAUCGGGGGUUCAAAUCCCCCCGGGGGCU